GAAAGGAAGUGUAAAUAAGAUGGAAAUCCUUAGGAAAACCAGCCUUAUUAAUUGUGCUGCUUAGAUAAAAAUUAUUACUGAGUUACUUGUUCUAAUUCUGUUAUAUGCAAUUUGUUUUAUAAAAAGCAAAUAGCUGCAGUCCUACAACUGUGUUCACACAGAUCUGCUAGGAGCCAUCACUGAUACUAGACAAAAUUCCAUUUUCCUAGAACCACAUCAGUCGACCCACAUGGGCCCAGUUCCAGGGAUGAAGUGGUACAUGUCUGUCACUGUAAGACAAGGGCUUAUGUGGAACCUUAUUUUCUCUCCCUGCAUUGCCAGAGCAAAGCAAUAGUUGUCCUAUUCUGUGAAAAAUGUUACAAUUUCAAGUAUUUUUGUGCUCUACACUGUGCGAUAAAAUCAAGAACCUUUAUGCAUGUUCAGACUUUUACCCAUGGCUAGUUACAUACUGCUCAAGGUAUCCAUGUAGGAUAAGAAAAAGUCGAGUUUGGGUCUGCAUAGGUCAGUUGACCAUCAGCUAUUUUAGCCAGGGUGUCGUUUCUUCAUUUCACUUGGAGAAAUACUUCUAGGAAACCUCCUAGCACCCUCAAAUAUUUGGCUUUCACUCAGUAUUUCAAUGAAACUCCUCUUCAAAAUGUGGGUGUUUCCUGCUAGAGGGAAGCACUAACUAGAGUUUUGACCAGCUUUAACCUGCCAAAUUUUGGAGACAUUGUGGCUGGCCACUUUCAGACUAAUUUCCUCAGCAAUUAUAUUACCCCAUCCCCUCAAAAAAAAAAGUUCUGAAAAACACUUUCUUCAGAAAAGAAAUAUAUCUGUUUCACUGGGCCAGCAUUUUCCACUUUUUCUGAGAAAUGUCUCUACUAAUCCCAGUCCUUGCCAGUCUGGAGCAAACUGUUAAAGUAUUGUGUGACUGGAUGUGUGCAUUAUUUUUUCCUUACAGAGCUAUUUCUCUAGGGGGCAGUUGUGGAGCAGAAAGGCAGAAAGACAAGUGGAAUAGGGAUUAAUUUAAGUUAGCAAGAACAGCUUUAAAAUGGUUAGUCAAUGAUUAUAUUUUAUUUUUAAAUAGAAACUGACAUAUAAGCAAAUUAUAAGAGGAACCAACAAUUAUUUAGAGAGGCAUAUGGGGAUAGCUGUUUUGUUCUGUGAAAUAAAGCUGGGGUAAGAGUUACCAGUGAAAAGCUACAUUGAAGUAGCCAUAUUAUACUUUCAGCAAAGAAUACAUACAGUUACUUAAAAUAGGCCAAUAUUAGAUUAAGAAGAAACAGAAAAAGGAAUUAAUGUCAAAAAGAGAAUAAAAUAGGGAAGUUUAGGAAAAGGGCCAAAUAUUAACAAUAGUAAAUUAUUUUCUCUGUCUUGUAACACCCUCACGCUGUAAUGCAUCUGCGCCUGAACUGACAGAGAAACAUCUUAGGUUAUAGUAGCCAGAUUGGGGACAGGGUCACAUGCUUGUUCACUGGUAAAUAUUUACAGAGUGAAGCUUGGCUCAAAGCGUGCUGACUUCAGUAGAAGAAUUCUUGCUGUCUUCACUGAGUUUGGAAUCCAGUUUGAGGCUGGGGAGAGAGGCACUGUAUGUUCUGUGGGACUGCGUUCUUAGCUGGGCCAUCUCAGUGAGGUGUUAUUGUUGAGCAACCUUUACCUAUAAAUCUCACUUUCUGAGUCGAAAUCUGCUCCAACUUACAAAAAGUAUGUCUGAUGUAAUUUCAGUAGCUUCAACACAAAGGCAUUUCCAGGUGAAAUACGAGAGGCUCAGUGUCAUGCUACUUGCAGCCUAAUAUGGGAGCAGUGACUGAGCAGUGACUGUGGCCUCUGAGGGCUGCUGUCAUAAAUAUAGAACAGCUCUGGGUCUCUUAUUGUGAGAAAAGGUAUGUAAAGCCACCACCAGAUCUCUCCCCAUACUGAUAUUUUUGUGUAUUCUUUCUAGUCUCAUGUGUCAGAGUGAUGUUGGGCUGUCAUAGUACGCACAAACAUGAGGGUCAACAGAGAACCAAGCUUCUGGUAUUCCACAGAGAAAGGAGAAAACUUAGCUCUGGCUAUUCCAUUGCUUGCCAUUUUGCUAGUGCACAGGUAGUAUACUUCAACUGCUUGGCUCUACUAGAGCCAGCUAAACGUCUAGUAGAAGGCAUCUCGCCACCCUCAUCCCAUUUCCAAACAAGGAGGCUCCAUAAGGUGAAGCAACCAGUUGCUGCUCAAUAUUUUCCAUAGCAGUCACCUGCCAGCAGAUUCUGUAGCCCUUACUCUGUGACAGCAGUCCCUUGACAAGCAAAUAACCCAUUGAGAAUGGCUACAAUGGACCUUUCCCUUGUUCUGUGGUAGGUAGGUCCUUACUUCUCACUCUGCAGUUUUCCUGCUUGAGGAGCUCUUGGAAGCGUCAUCUGUGCGAAAUUCAUGCUGGGCGGGAGACUCCUCAACUCAGGUUUUCAGCAGUAAAUGCAGAGGUGUUUUUUAUUCGGGCAGCACAGGGACGAGGUCAGAGGGCACUGAAUUCACAUCAAAGGGUUGACUGGGCUCCCUGGACCCUUUCAUAGCAACAGGUUCAGCCCUGUAAGUCAGGUAUUUUCUCCGCCCAAGCCACGGAAGGCUGUUCAGCACAGAUGUGCAUAAUUUAUUCCCGAGCACGCCCAAUGCUCCUGCUUGCGAGUCGCUCAGGCUGUGGCCGCCUCUGUGGUGCUGUUUUACGCGCAAACACGUGUGUACACAGGCACCUCCUGCAGCAGCCACCCGCAUAUCCGGGGAUCGACACGGGCCAGCCCUGUCCCGGGGUGGGGAUCGGCCCAGGACAGCCCUGUCCCGGCGUGCCACCGUGCAGCAGGACGGAUGCGUGGCUGCCCCUGCCUCCCGGCAGCAGCGCCGCACGGGGAGGCAGCGGCUCCGCUGGCGUCUCCCGGCGAGGCGGUGCUGCAUUGCGGGCACAUCCCGCCCCGCCCGCCCCCCUUCUCCCUCUUAGAGAGCCCUGGUGACACCCCCGCCGUGCCCCCGUCCGGGAGGUGUCGGUCGGAGAGCCAGAGGGAAAGGAAACGUGCUCGUCUGCAGUUUCGCGUAUCUCUCGCAGGGUAGAGGUGAGAAUACUUUCUAAUGUGAAACUACGCUAUCAUUAUAUCAGCAGGAGCUCUGAAAAAAAACAAGCUCUUCUUGACUACAGCAGAGUAAUCUGAAGUUAUAGUGACCUGGUGACCAAGAACCCAUCUCUGUUACAAACAUGAAGGUUCAUCCAAAUUUCCUCUGCAGCUUGGUUUAUUUAGUUACAUUGGUGAUAAUCUCAGACUGGAAAAUUUGCAGGCAAUCUCACUGGAUGCUUAUUUCAGAUCCUGUGUGUUGUUGACAAGAGGCAUUUGGAGGAGAAGCAAAUCUGUUUUCCCACUGAAGACACUCAGAAAGGUCUGUGGCUAAAACUCUUUUCAGGUCUUUGGUCUCAACUUUGCAAAGCCCCUGCAGAUGACAGCCUUGCUACAGCCUGAGAAGAGAGAGAAUAGAAAAAUUUCUACAGGGUUAAAAUGGUACUAGGAUAUUGGUUGAACUGGAGUGGCUGUGAAGAGCAGAAGCAGCACUGGAAUCUCUUUGUUAGGCUUCCUGGUCAUGAAUGUAAACUGAAGUCCCCAGGAAAGUUAUUCAGUGAUUUCUGGUUUUCAGACAAUUGAGUCAGACUCUUCUUGUAAGUUAUUUACAAGUGUAUGAAUCUAUUGAGAUCAGCACUGUCACUCCAGACUUACAAAGAUAAUUCAGACCUCUUUAAAAAAAAAAAAAAAAUUAAAAAGAAGUCUGACUUCAAAUUAA